rnacentral:rRNA from 1 species
UACAGAGGGUGCAAGCGUUGCUCGGAAUCAUUGGGCGUAAAGAGCGUGUAGGCGGUCUGGUAGGUCCGUUGUGAAAACUCGAGGCUCAACCUCGAGACGCCGAUGGAAACCAUCAGACUAGAGUCCGGAAGAGGAGAGUGGAAUUCCUGGUGUAGCGGUGAAAUGCGCAGAUAUCAGGAAGAACACCCGUGGCUAAGGCGGCUCUCUAGUACGGUACUGACGCUGAGACGCGAAAGCGUGGGGAGCGAACAGG